GGGGCGGUAGCUCAGCUGGGAGAGCGUCGCGUUCGCAAUGCGAAGGUCGUGGGUUCGAUCCCCAUCCGCUCCACCA
rnacentral:tRNA from 27 species